rnacentral:rRNA from 1 species
CAGUAGCCACGGUAAUACGUAGGGUGCAAGCGUUAAUCGGAAUUACUGGGCGUAAAGCGUGCGCAGGCGGUUAUAUAAGACAGAUGUGAAAUCCCCGGGCUCAACCUGGGAGCUGCAUUUGUGACUGUAUAGCUAGAGUACGGCAGAGGGGGAUGGAAUUCCGCGUGUAGCAGUGAAAUGCGUAGAUAUGCGGAGGAACACCGAUGGCGAAGGCAAUCCCCUGGGCCUGUACUGACGCUCAUGCACGAAAGCGUGGGGAGCAAACAGGAUUAGAUACCCGCGUAGUCCCUGUCUCUUAUAA